GAAAAGAUGUUUGGUUUUCACAAGCCAAAGAUGUACCGAAGUAUAGAAGGUUGCUGUAUUUGCAGAGCUAAGUCCUCCAGUUCUCGAUUCACUGAUAGUAAACGUUAUGAAAAGGACUUCCAGAGCUGUUUUGGGUUGCAUGAGACUCAUUCAGGAGACAUCUGUAAUGCCUGUGUUCUGCUUGUGAAAAGAUGGAAGAAGUUACCAGCAGGUUAAAAAAAAAAACUGGAAUCAUGUGGUAGACGAAAGGGCAGGACCUAGUCUAAAGACUACUUUGAAACCAAAGAAAGUAAAAACUCUAUCUGGAAACAGGAUAAAAAGCAACCAGAUCAGUAAACUGCAGAAGAAAUUUAAAUGUCACAAUUCUGAUGCUCACAGUACCACCUCAAGUGCCUCCCCAGCUCAAUCUCCUUGUUAUAGUAACCAGUCAGAUGAUGGCUCAGAUACAGAAAUGGCUUCUGGCUCUAAUAGAACACUAGUUUUUUUCCUUUUUAGAUCUUACUUACUGGAAAAGACAGAAAAUUUGUUGUGGUAUUAUCUAUAAAGGCCGUUUUGGAGAAGUCCUCAUUGAUACACAUCUAUUCAAGCCUUGCUGCAGCAAUAAGAAGACAGCUGCAGAGAAGCCAGAGGAGCAGGGGCCCGAACCUCUGCCCAUCUCCACUCAGGAGUGGUGA